UGAAUAGCGUAGAAUCUGGCCUUGGGUGGAGCUAUGCCAGAUCUGCAUCUCCCUGGAUAUGGAUCUAACAAGUAACAUUUCAGUUCUGCCGCAGAGCAUACCAGCGUCUCUCUGACACCUCCCUGAGAUAAGGUCUGGUUCAGCAACCAUCCUGACAAGGGA
rnacentral:lncRNA from 1 species